rnacentral:rRNA from 1 species
GCCAAACAGCUAGCUUAAUAACCUUAUAACUUAAAAAUAUAAAUAAACAAAAUUAGCCUAACACCAAAAACUAAACCAUUCUUUUACCCUAGUAUGAGAGACAGAAAAGGUACCCCAUAAAGCAAUAGAGACAGUACCGUGAGGGAAAGCUGAAAGAGAAAUGAAAUAACCCAUAAAAGCAUUAAAAAGCAAAGACUAAACCUUGUACCUUUUGCAUCAUGAUUUAGCCAGUAUAUCCAAGCAAAGAGACCUUUAGUUUGAUACCCCGAAACCAGGUGAGCUACCCCGAGACAGCCUAUUUAUAGGGCUAACCCGUCUCUGUGGCAAAAGAGUGGGAAGAACUCCGGGUAGAAGUGACAGACCUACCGAACCUGGUGAUAGCUGGUUGCCUAGGAAAUGAAUAAGAGUUCAGCCUCAUUUACCUUAAGUCAAAUUAUAAUUAGGUUAUAUAAGCCUAGAACAAGAUUUCAAGAGAAAUUUAUGAGAGUUAGUUAAAGGGGGUACAGCCCAUUUAACCAAGGACACAACCUUUUCAGGAGGAUAAAGAUCAUAAUAUAUAAAACAUACUGUUUUAGUGGGCCUAAGAGCAGCCAUCUAAACAGAAAGCGUUAAAGCUCAGACAGAUCAAAGUUUAUUAUUCUGAUAACAAAUCUUAUUCCCCUAAAAUCUAUUAGGCCGCCCCAUGCCAACAUGGAAGAGAUUAUGCUAAAAUGAGUAACAAGAAGGCCAGCCCUUCUCCCCAGCACAAGUGUAAGCCAAACUGGACAAACCAUCGGCAACUAACGAACUCAAACAAAGAGAGCAAUGUGAGUUAUACAAAAACCAAGAAAAAUCCACAACAAAACUCGUUAACCCCACACUGGAGUGCCACCAAGGAGUAAGACCAAAAGAAAAGGAAGGAAUUCGGCAAACACAAGCCUCGCCUGUUUACCAAAAACAUCGCCUCCUGCAACACAACUAAGUAUAAGAGGUCCAGCCUGCCCAGUGACAAUAAGUUAAAUGGCCGCGGUAUUUUAACCGUGCAAAGGUAGCGUAAUCACUUGUCUUCUAAAUAAAGACCUGUAUGAAUGGCUAAACGAGGGCUUAACUGUCUCCCUUUUCAAGUCAGUGAAAUUGAUCUGCCCGUGCAGAAGCGGACAUAAAUAUACAAGACGAGAAGACCCUUUGGAGCUUAAGGUACAAAUCUUCAACCACGUCAAGCGACUCGAUAAAAAGCGACAAACUUUGUGGUAUCUGAGAUCAACCUUCGGUUGGGGCGACCAUGGAGUAAAAAAUAUCAUCCAAGUGGAAUGGGACAAACCUUCCCUAAAACCAAGAAAGACAUUUCUAAGCCACAGAAAAUCUGACCAUAAAUGAUCCGGUCAACAUGACCGAUUAACGAAUCAAGUUACCCCAGGGAUAACAGCGCAAUCCCCUCCCAGAGUCCAUAUCGACGAGGGGGUUUACGACCUCGAUGUUGGAUCAGGACAUCCUAAUGGUGCAGCCGCUAUUAAGGGUUCGUUUGUUCAACGAUUAAAGUCCUACGUGAUCUGAGUUCAGACCGGAGUAAUCCAGGUCAGUUUCUAUCUGUAACGCUACUUUUCCUAGUACGAAAGGAUCGGAAAAAGAGGGCCUAUACUCAAAGCACGCCCUACCCCUAAUUUAUGAAAACAAAUAAAUAUAGGUAAGGGAGAGCCAAAAUUUAAAAACCAAAAUAAGGUCAC